AGCGAACGCUGGCGGCAGGCUUAACACAUGCAAGUCGAGCGGGCAUCCUUGUGGUGUCAGCGGCAGACGGGUGAGUAACGCGUGGGAACGUGCCCUUCGGUUCGGAAUAACUCAGGGAAACUUGAGCUAAUACCGGAUACGUGCGAGAGCAGAAAGGUUUAUCUGCCGAAGGAUCGGCCCGCGUCUGAUUAGCUAGUUGGUGAGGUUAUGGCUCACCAAGGCGACGAUCAGUAGCUGGUCUGAGAGGAUGAUCAGCCACACUGGGACUGAGACACGGCCCAGACUCGUACGGGAGGCAGCAGUGGGGAAUAUUGGACAAUGGGGGCAACCCUGAUCCAGCCAUGCCGCGUGAGUGAUGCCGGCCUUAGGGUUGUAAAGCUCUUUUCUCCGGGACGAUAAUGACGGUACCGGAGGAAUAAGCCCCGGCUAACUUCGUG
rnacentral:rRNA from 1 species